rnacentral:rRNA from 1 species
UACGUAGGGGGCAAGCGUUGUCCGGAUUUAUUGGGCGUAAAGAGCGUGUAGGUGGCCAGACAGGUCCGUUGUGAAAACUCGAGGCUCAACCUCGAGACGCCGAUGGAAACCGUCUGGCUAGAGUCCGGAAGAGGAGAGUGGAAUUCCUGGUGUAGCGGUGAAAUGCGCAGAUAUCAGGAAGAACACCCGUGGCUAAGGCGGCUCUCUAGUACGGUACUGACGCUGAGACGCGAAAGCGUGGGGAGCGAACAGG